rnacentral:rRNA from 1 species
AUAACGACUCUCGGCAACGGAUAUCUUGGCUCUCGCAUCGAUGAAGAACGUAGCGAAAUGCGAUACUUGGUGUGAAUUGCAGAAUCCCGUGAACCAUCGAGUUUUUGAACGCAAGUUGCGCCCCAAGCCGUUAGGCUGAGGGCACGUCUGCCUGGGUGUCACGC